GUUCCAGUAUCUUCAAAGCAAGUCGCCUAUAAAACUGCAAUAUUCAUGCUUUCUUAGCCCCACGGAUGGCCUCAGAGAUGAAGAAGGAUUUUGUGAACAAGCAGAUUUUAGGAGGACUGAGAGAACUGGAAGUUCUGGGGUGGCUCCACAGAGCGGCAGUGUGUUCUUGCUGCUGCUGAGUGCUCCCCACCUUGAUGCUGCAGGUGGCUGACCAAGAGAUGGGAAGAGACAGAGAAGCAAUCCCAGAUUCAAUGAGCAGCAGGCUAAGGAGGCACAAGGCCAGUUCCCUCUGAUUGGCGGCAUACUCGGAAAUCUUGCUUUGUAUGAGAAGUUUGAGAGUCUGGAAAGUUGUCUGAAGACUUGAAGAAGACACACUGGGACCGUUUCAUUUGGGGAAUGUUCAUUUUGAGUAUAAAUCAUAAUUGCUGGAUCAUUGUUUUAUAUAUCCCUGUUUUUAUUGGUAUGUCACAACUUGGGGUGACAAGGAAGACUUCUGCUUUUUGAGACUGUAUAUAAAUUCUGUGUUGAAAGAUUAGUCUGUUUCCCUGGGAGAAUGUAAUUGUUUGGGGAAUACACACCACUUGUGAAACUAAGGAGUAUUGUCCUCAGAGCAGCUGCAUCUCUGAGCCAGAGGCUUAGAUAAACUAACCAUGACUAGAUUAGGAUUGGCUUUUUAGCGUGUUUGAGAUAACUGUUGGGUUUGUACCAAAAAGUACCUAAGUGGUUUAUACAUUUUUAGGUUGCCGUUCCUUGUUGAUUGUAAAGUCCAGGAGACAGAUGUUGUGCAAGUAAGCACUAAAACAACAACUUGACUGAGAGAUAAUAGAUACUGAUUUUGUGGAGGGGACCAACCAAGUUUUCAGACCUUCAUCAUCUGGAAUAUGUGUCUUAGUUGUACUCUUAGCCAGUCAAACUUACUGACUUGAAAAUCAUUGCUAGUCUGCAAUGAGUACUGUGUAUUGGUAGAGUUACUCCUCAAUUCCUUGCAAGAGGAAUUCUGGGCAUUACAUUUAUGCAAAUGAAUCACCUUCUGUAGAUAUUGAUGAGCUACUUCUUGUGAAGAGACGACGCCCUUCUUGUCUGCUCAUGUGGAUGCUUCUGCCCAAGAGACUUUCCAGGAAAGGUGGCCUUCACUAUGCGCAGAAUCCUGGGCAUGGCACAUGUGGAAGCAUGGGAUGCUGCACCAUGUGCAUGGGGAGUCCUGCCCUCUUUAAACUAUAAUCUCAUAACUUGGAACAAUAGUGGUUCUAGAUUAAUGCUGAUCAAUAAAUAAAAUAAUUCUGGGGCUGAUUUUUACUUUCAGAAGCACAUGGUAGCAAUGAGCACCUCCGUCUUCUAAGGCUCAAGACAUAGACUACGUGACAAAAGGAAGCUGGAUAGCUAUUUUCUGAGAUUAAGCACAUGCUUCUGUCGAACUGUGUUGAAUGAAAGCCUGAAACUCAGUCUGUUGCUUAGAUUUUAGAUUUACUAGAUAUGCAAACACUAUGCAGGGUUUUCUGCUGAUGCAAACUAAAGCAAAAAUGCUACAGGAAAAUAAUAAUGAAUGGAAAAAUAUUCAAUGCAUAAAAAUUUAACUGUAAUGGAAUUUAACUUUGGCAGCAAAUGUAAACCAUCAGUGAAAUUACUUUUGAUGCGUGAACAUCUGUCUAUAUCUGCAAGGUCUUUUUUUUUACAAAGUGGUACAUUAAUUGAUACAACAUAGUCUUCCAGGGUGUCAAGGCAGAGCCAUGAAGGAGUUCAGCUGUGGAUCGUUUUUUUUGUGCAUUUUAAUUUUAUUCUUGGCUCAUUUUGAAGCCUGAGUUGAAGUGUGACUCAUCAGUUUAAUAAGCAAAAGAUGGCUAAAUGUGAUAUUUGUCCUAUCACUCUCUUCUGCAUUUUUGCCUGUAGAAACUAGAGUGAUUUAACCUCUCUAGCCCUGUGAGCCAUUUUGGCUUAAGAUGUAGAUUAGAUUGUUUGUAGUCUCGAGUGUUUCUGCCCUGAUUAUCUGCUCACACUGCUGCUCACCAGCAGGUCUGCACACAGGUAUUAGUGUUCACUUUUACACUUAAGUUUUCCUGGAUAUAAUGAUUCUGUAUCACUUCUGUCACUGUUCUCUUUGAGACGCUAAGUCUGGAUUCAUUGGGAAUUACUGGCAUUUUGCAGUAGGAUAUGAGACCUUUUCUGGAUAAAUGACAUUCUACUUAAUGCUUUCAAGAUGUUAAAUAAUUUUUACAUCAGUCAACAUGUUUUCAGUGUUUAAAUCCUAUCUAACACAAAAAUCCUUUCUUCCAGCUCCAGCAGACUGUCAGCAUGAAACCAAACUUUCCUUUCCUUUGAAAAUGUUUCAUAUCUGGAUUACUAUCCUACCUGAACUAAAUGAUUCAGCUUAUUUCUGAAACUGAUUUGUGUUCUCAUGCCAGGAAGCAAGGUCUAGUCAUAAUUGCCAAUUAAACAAAAUUAGUACUUACUUCCUGGUGCUCAUAUGCAUUCUAUACAUACAUGCAUGUCAAUACUUUGUACAAGCGAAACAACAAAAUAAAAAGAUAUAAUGGUGUUACCUGCAUAAUGACUGGAAGAGUUUAAAGUGUCAUUUGUAUAUCAUUGAAAAACUGCACGUGGAAAUAAAGAACGGUCCAAUACUGGACCAUUGAAAUUGGAAAAAUGCUAUUGGAUUUUGAAUCUGAUACUGAAAUAUUAUACUCAAAUACAAAGUACUCUCCUGUUUUCUUUACAGUUACUGAAGGGAGCAGCAAUAUUUGCUGAUUUUUCAAGUAAGUGUGAGAGCAAAUGUAUUGCUUUAGAGAAGCAUAGAGAAGCAUAGGUUAUUCAUGACAAUAAAUGUGCAGGGAAGUAUACUGACAUAUGAUCAGAAUUUAAAGGCCGGUUUUCAAAUCUGUUCUGUGCCCAGAAGCUCCCAUUGUGACACUUCUGGUCAGGCUAAUUAAGCAGCUCAGUAGCUAAGGUGCUAAACUAUUUUGAAAACUUGGUUACUGUUUUAAUUUUUAAUGAGAGGUGAGCUUCUGAAAAUCUGGACCACAUAAUGAGAUCCUUCUGCUCCUUGAAUCUGGGUGUAAUCCAAAACCAAUAAAAGUCACUGAACUCAGUAAUUUCUGGGUGAAGAAGAUUCACUUUUACUUUCCAGCUGGGUUGACAUUAUUCUGAAACACAUGUCUAUGUGAACUUGUUAAAAAAAGAAAUAAAGGUUAAAAAAAAGGUCAGUACCCGCCUCCAUUGGAAAGGUUUAUUGAGUCAUGUGGUUUCCAGAGAAGAAGAAUGGUAUGGAAGGCCAAGAGCGAUUUUGGGGUUUUGUUGUAUAGAAGCCUUUUUGUUUUACAGCAUGGAUUCAGCAAGACAACUGCAUUUCAUGGAAACAUGUAGGACAAUAAAUGCCUAAGUUACAAGAAACAUGCUCUACUCAUGCCCUUGUAACUAUUUCUUCUAUUGUGUUUCAUUCCUCAUAUAUGGUUCUCAUGCAAAACCAGUGACAAGCAGUCACUUGGUUUUUGUGACUAAUAUUAUUCCAUAAUGAUACAGAGGAGUUAUAGAUACUGAAUACAUUUUAAUGACAUCACAAGUUGAGCUGACCUGGUGCCACCAAACAUACCAUAUCAUGCUCUAAGAAACAAUGGAGGGUAAUUCCAGCCACAGACACUUUCCCAAGCAUCCGUUACUUGGCAGUCUGGGGUGUUUUAUAGUGUUUAUAGAUUUUUAAGGUUGGAAGAGACGCCUUCAGUCUGACAUUCUGCACAGACCCUAAAAUUACUGUAGCAAAGGGAAUCACUUCUACAGAAAUUACCUUAAAGAAAUGUGGUUGGAAUAAUGAAAUUUCCCAGGCCUUUUAAGAGGUCUUAGAUUGCUAUUUUAUGGCUCUAGGAAUUAUAGGCUUGGCUACUAAUUUACAUAUGAAUUACUACUUUCAUAACAUGUAACUCGGUAGCCUUUAAGGGAAAUCCCUAUGGCUGCUCUCAGUUAAAUUUAUUCAACUUAACAACAUUCAUUGGAGGGCUGGCUCUGUUGCUCCCUUUUGAAAGUUUACUAUAUGCAGUAGUAGGACUGCAGCUGUAGUAGUGUGGUUCUUAAAAGACUUAAUGCAAUGUUUAAUGGUUAUAUGUUUGUUGGAUUGUGGUGGGUCACCGUGAUUUUUGGAAAUGUUAUCUGUGUGAUUUAAAGGAAGGAUAAAAGUAACUUUGAUGUAUGAAAACCAAAAUUCUUAUCACCAGAGAAAAGGAGAAAAGUUUCUUGGUAGCUUGCAUGGCUGCAUCGUGUGAGAAUCCAUGUUUUACAAAUACUGUGUUUUGAUAAGCUUGCUUUCCAAAGCUGAAAUAAAGUAUUUAUGCACAUGA